rnacentral:sRNA from 1 species
GUUGGGCAUGGUGGCACAUGCCUGUAAUCCCAGAGACUCAGGAGGCUGAGGCAGGAGAAUCACGAGUUUAAAGCCAGCCUCAGCAAAAGCAAGGCACUAAGCAACUCGGUGAGACCCUUUCUCUA